AGCAGCCGCGGUAAUUCCAGCUCCAAUAGCGUAUAUUAAAGUUGUUGCAGUUAAAAAGCUCGUAGUUGAAUUUCGGGGUCAGUAGGUUGGUCGUGCCACUGGUAUGCACUGGCCUCACUGAUUCCUCCCUCUUGUAGAACCGUAAUGCCAUUAAGUUGGUGUUGCGGGGAAACAGGACUGUUACUUUGAAAAAAUUAGAGUGUUUAAAGCAGGCUAACGCUUGAAUACAUUAGCAUGGAAUAAUGAAAUAGGACGAUCGAUCCUAUUUUGUUGGUUUCUAGGAUUGACGUAAUGAUUAAUAGGGAUAGUUGGGGGCAUUAGUAUUCAAUUGUCAGAGGUGAAAUUCUUGGAUUUAUUGAAGACUAACUACUGCGAAAGCAUUUGUCAAGGAUGUUUUCAUUAAUCAAGAACGAAAGUUAGGGGAUCGAAGACGAUCAGAUACCGUCGUAGUCUUAACCAUAAACUAUGCCGACUAGGGAUCGGAUGAUGUUAAUUUUUAAUGACUCAUUCGGCGCCUUAC
rnacentral:rRNA from 1 species